AGGUUUCCAUAUGGAGUCCGCCUGUGACUAUAAGUAUAACGACACAAUAUACCCUAUCGGCUACCGGACACAUUCUCACAAUCUUGGUGUUGUAACAUCCGGAUACCGUAUACGCGAUGGAGUGUGGACCGAGAUUGGACGCAUGUCACCACAACUUCCGCAGACUUUCUACAAUGUCACAAACCCUGGUAUAGAUGUGCGAUUUGGAGAUAUCCUGG